CUCCUCUCAGGGUCACACCUGGAGAAUUUUCAGUGUUCUACCAGUCUGGACUGUGGGAGGGAGAAUCAAGCAGAAGCAUAUCUAUUCCGUUCCUAGCUUGGGCAGUGGCUAGCGAGUGGAAGGCCAUCUGCUACGAGU